AUUGAACGCUGGCGGCAGGCUUAACACAUGCAAGUCGAGCGAGCGGCGGACGGGUGAGUAAUGUCUGGGAAACUGCCUGAUGGAGGGGGAUAACUACUGGAAACGGUAGCUAAUACCGCAUACUAUCCGAUGAGCCCAUAUGGGAUUAGCUAGUAGGUGGGGUAAUGGCUCACCUAGGCGACGAUCCCUAGCUGGUCUGAGAGGAUGACCAGCCACACGGGAACUGGGAAACGGCCCAGCCUCCUACGGGAGGCAGAAGUGGGGAAUAUUGCACAAUGGGCGCAAGCCUGAUGCAGCCAUGCCGCGUGUGUGAAGAAGGCCUUCGGGUUGUAAAGCACGUUCAGCGGGGAGGCGUUACUCGCAGAAGAAGCACCGGCUAACUCCGUGCCAGCAGCCGCGGUAAUAC
rnacentral:rRNA from 1 species